rnacentral:rRNA from 1 species
CUGGCUCAGGAUGAACGCUGGCGGCGUGCUUAACACAUGCAAGUCGAACGGAGUUUUAACGGAAGUUUCGGAUGGAAGUUAGAACUAGUGGCGGACGGGUGAGUAACGCGUGGGUAACCUGCCUCAUACAGGGGGAUAACAGUUAGAAAUGACUGCUAACACCGCAUAAUAUAGCGAAACCGCAUGAUUUUGCUAUCAAAUAUUUAUAGGUAUGAGAUGGGCCCGCGUCUGAUUAGCUAGUUGGUGGGGUAAAGCCUACCAAGGCGACGAUCAGUAGCCGGCUUGAGAGAGUGACCGGCCACAUUGGGACUGAGACACGGCCCAAACUCCUACGGGAGGCAGCAGUGGGGAAUAUUGGACAAUGGGGGAAACCCUGAUCCAGCGAACCGCCGCGUGAGUGAAGAAGUAUUUCGGUAUGUAAAGCUCUAUCAGCAGGGAAGAUAAUGACAGUACCUGACUGAGAAGCCCCGGCUAACUACGUGCCAGCCGCCGC